AUGCAUGCGAUGAUGGCGCUCGACUUACCUAUCAAAACCAUCGCAGCCGCUAAUAAAAUCUGUCGGGGAUUCUUGUGGAAGGGUAGGCAUGAUGUUCAUGGCAGGCAUUGCAUCGUCGCUUGGGACCAAGUUUGUGCGCCAAAAGAGUUAGGUGGAUUGGGCAUGCCAAACUUGCGUCUGCUAAACACAGCGCUUAGAGCCAGGUGGCCGUGGUUGCAAAGGACAGAGCCAAACCGGCCAUGGGGUGCUCUUAACUUGCAAGUACCCGAAGAAUCUAUGAGCAUCUACAAAGCAGCCACAAGAUGCACGCUUGGGGACGGGAACACGGCGCGGUUCUGGACGGACUGGUGGCUCCGGGACGGUCGCAUUGAGGGUACCAUGCCACACCUAUAUGCCAUGGUCAAGAAGCCGGGACGGAGAAAGACGGUCAGUCAAGCGAUCACGGACGGAUGGUGGCAAGAUGUCUCACCGGAUAUGAGCACGCAAGCACUACUUGAGUUCAUCACUUUGGUAGACAUGACUCAGAACAUCGAGCUGGUGCAAGGUGUGGAAGACACAAUCACAUGGACAUGGGAGAGCACGGGCAGUUUCUCUGUACGGUCGGCAUACCGCGCACAUUUUGCGGGAAGAAUAGAGAAGGCCGGAGCCUACCAAGUCUGGAAAUCGUGGGCACCGCCGGCGUGCAAGUUCUUCAUGUGGCUGGCAACGCGGAAUCGGUGCUGGACUGCGGAUCGGUUGCAGCGCCGACAGAUGCCACACUCAUCGGCAUGCCCUCUUUGUGAUCAAGCUCCGGAGACUUUAGAUCACCUAUUGCUUAGCUGUGUCUUCGCCGGGCAAGUGUGGACCAAGAUCACAAGCACAUGGGGGAGACCGGACUGGAUGCCAACAUUGGAUGCAAGCCUUGUGAAAUGGUGGACAGAUCUACACCCGCAAAACCACAUGAGGAAGGAGACGUGGACUGUUAUUACUCUCGUGCUAUGGCAGUUGUGGAAACACCGGAAUGACAUAGUGUUCAAUGGAGCCCUGCCAUCGGUUGAGGAAGUGCUUGUGAAGAUCGAGCUGGAGGCACAAGAUUGGAGAGCCGCCGGACUUCUUCGAGAACGGGGUUCCGUCAUUUGUAUGGUAGAUAGGGAGGACAUGGGUGAGUAA
rnacentral:rRNA from 1 species